CUUUACAUUACUAUAAAGGGCUAGACUAUAUCUUAAUUUCUAUCAAAGAAACCAUUACCUUAUAGUCGUUGAACUGCAUUCUUUUUAAGAAUUUGGCUGCGGAUUGUUCAUAUAAAUUCAUAUUUUCACUAUUUUAGAGUAAUGAAUUACCAGAACUUUUCAGCAAUUUGAUAAUGUUGCCAAUGUAAUUAUUGACUAACGAAAAUCGUUUUUUAGCCCUAAUUUAAGGCUAGUGG
rnacentral:ncRNA from 1 species